rnacentral:rRNA from 1 species
AUUGAACGCUGGCGGCAGGCUUAACACAUGCAAGUCGAACGAGUGGCGGACGGGUGAGUAAUGCUUGGGCAUCUAGCUUAUGGAGGGGGAUAACUACUGGAAACGGUAGCUAAUACCGCAUACCAUCGGAUGUGCCCAGAUGGGUUUAGCUAGUAGGUGGGGUAAAGGUUCACCUAGGCGACGAUCCCUAGCUGGUCUGAGAGGAUGGCCAGCCACAAUGGAACUGAGACACGGUCCAGACUCCUACGGGAGGCAGCAGUGGGGAAGAUUGGACAAUGGGCGCAAGCCUGAUUCAGCAAUGCCGGGUGUAUGAAGAAGGCCUUCGGGUUGUAAAGUACUUUCAGCGGGGAGGCGUUACCCGCAGAGGAAGCACCGGCUAACUCCGUGCCAGCCGCCGCGGUAAUAC